AUUUUAUAUUUUUGUUUUCUUUUCUGAGUUUUACACUAGAUUAUAAGCUAAUUGGUAGAAGGAGUUAUACCCUUUAUAAUGUUGAAUUGUAUGACUUGGCCAAUUUUCAACUAUUUUUUACCUACUGAAAAUAACAAUGCCACGUGAUUCAACAUAUAUAUCCAUCUCCUCAGUGUCUAAAGUACAUCUACUUAAGUACUCGUUUGAUGGGUAAAUGAAAAAAUGAAUGGCAGCUUACAUUCUAGGAAUUCUUGAAACUACCUGAGUGUUUCUUAUUCUUUUCUUUCCCUGUACUUAUUCACUGAAGAAGAAAAAUAAAAAACAGCUCUUGCCAGGUAAUAUAUAAAAAAAUUGUCCAUCCACUCCCGAUACCACAAACACACACAACACACACACACACACACACACAGCCCAGGAAAUCUCACAGGCACUUCGCAUAGGUUAUUUCCAGCAUAUGCUCCACCUUGCAUGCUGGGCCAGGAAGCUUGUUAUCUUGUCCAGCCACACAUGUGAACAUGGGAGAAGUGGAUACAUACGUAUUUCCACAUACUAAGUGGCUGGUGUCUGGCUCUUCUUCCUGAUUAGAGCCAUGUGACUAAGUGUGGUUCCCUUUGACUCAACCCUCCACUAUUCUCCACCUUCUCAGAAAUUCUGCUCCCACAAUCAGUAAACCUCACUGAAUCCUCAGCUUCUUUCUCAGUGGAACUUUUCCUCUGUCCACUUAUUUGCUUUAACUGAGUUCCAGCCCCUACUUAGAAGCCCUCUCCAGGGUGCAAGUUCAACCUUUCACACUUCCCCUAUAUCAAAGGUUUCCUCCUAGUAUCCCACUACCAACCCCCCUCCCCACCCAGGUCUAAACCACGGCAUCCUUACCCUGUGUAACACCCCCUGCUGCUUGGAAACUCAAGCCAUCCAGCACCUCGGCAUGAGCUCUCCUCGUUCACACUUAGCAAGCCCAAGUCAUGGAUAAAUGUAAAUAUCUGCCUUCUCUAUGUCGACACUCUGACUAAGGCUGGGGGGAAAAAGCAUAUUCAGGAAAAUUGAUGUUACAGUAAAGUCAUCAUUACUGAUCUCAACUAGACAGCUGGCACUGCUUAGCAACUUCUUACGUUCAGUUUCUCCCACUUUGAGAACAUAUUUGCAUACCUGGGUUACUCUCCUCAAAUCUGUUACCUCAUUCUUAGCUUGAUAACAUUCUGCCUUAACAACACUAAACCUUUAAACAUGCCAACAUAUUCUAUCUUUCCUUGUUCCUUGCCUCCUCUUUUAAUAAGUGCAGUGUUCCUCUUCACAUCUAAGGUCUCCAUUCUCCUCCUGACAUCCUCCUGAGCUAAUCUCAUGUCAUUUCUCUGCACUCCAUCCAUAGCGUCCUUUCUUUUCAACACGCCCUCUACUAUCCCACUCUGAGGAUCCUGUGACAACACCAGGACCAUCAAUGCAUUGAUCCUAUUAAUGCUUUGCUGUCUCUGAAAGCUUCAAGUCCUUACGCAGCUUAAAUUCAGGGCGAAUCAUUGAAAUCACACCCCCUUGCAUAUACAUUGACUCCUUUACCCACUUGCUACAGAGUACUUACUUGGUGAAACCACAAACAUGGUUAAAUCCAACCCUCAGUUUGUUCUGAGCUUGCUCCUGAAGCUGCGAGUGGCUGGAGAAAAUUUUUAAGUUCAUACUGACUGUGCAUACUUUAAAUUUUUGGCAUGAGCCACAAAAGAACCUUUCCAUUUAGUACGAUUGCAUUCCAAUCACACUAAAUUUACAUAGUGCAUACACUCUCCCAUGCUUGAUAAUUAUGUACUCCUAGAUAAAUAUUUUGCCAUUCUCCUCUUUUCUGAAACCUCUUUUCUAAAUUUACUCAGAAAACAACACUUCUCAUCAUCUCCACUUCUAUCAUGCUGGUCCAAGACACCAUCAUCUCUUAUCUGGAUACUGUUGUAACCUCAUAUCUCUUUCCAGUGGCUAUGGUCUGAUAUUUGUAUCCCCCAAAACUCAUAUGUUGAAAGGUAAUGCCCAGUGUGAUGGUAUUAGAGGGUGGGGCCUUUGGGAGGUAAUUAAGUCAUGAAGGCUCUACCCUUAUAAAAGAUGUCUAGGAGAGUUCUCUUACCCCUCUGGCACGUGAAGAUACAAUGAGAAAUUGGCAGUCUGCAAACCAGAAGAGGGCCCUCACUAGCAUCCAACUAUGCUGGCACCUGAUCUUGGACUUCAGCCUCCAGAACUGUGAUCAGUGUAUUUCUACUAUUUAUAAGCCACCCAGCCUAUGCGAUUUUGUCAUAGGAGCUUAAACAGACUAAGACACCAACCUUUCUCUCAACUGUUUAUUCUCAACACAGAAUAUAUGAAUAUAACACAAAUACAAAUAUAAAUUUGAUAAUAUCAUUCCUCCAAAACCGUUUAGUGGUUCUUCAUUUCAAACAGUAAAAUCUAGAGUUUUUCAAUGGCCUACAAGGCUCUACAUAAUCUUGGCCCUUCUUUUUGUGAGAUAUUUCCUACUCUCAACUUUAUUCUCUCUGCUCCAUUCAUACUAGGUCCUUUCUAAGGGCUUCUGCCCUAGUCAUCUUCUCCGCUUGACAUAUUCUUCCCUCAGAUAUUUGAAUGGCUAAAUCUCUCACCUUCUUCAUGUUGUCUUUUCAUUGAAAGCUACACAAUGACAUAAUUUUAAACUGCGAACCCUACUGUCGGCCUUCCUGAUCCCACUUAUGUGCUUUACUUUCCAUAGCAUUUUACUGCUUAUAAUAUAUUAUUUUACUUGUUUAUUGUGAUAUUACUGGUUUUACUUGUUUCCCAUUUUCCAUUGAUAGAAUUAAACCUCUUCUAUUUUUUAACUUUUACAUCCGAAAUGCCUAGAACAGAUCUUGACACAAUGACACUCAAACAUUUGAUGAAAAAGUUAGUGAAGUGAUAAGAUCUAUCCCUCCAUCUUUGCUCACAAUUCCAUUUAUCUUCUCUCCUGCAGAGAUUGUAUUAAAGCUUGUACUAAAUCUUACUUCUGUUUCAUCCUGUAUCUUCUGCUUCUCUUUCCAUGCUCAUCCUCAUUACCAUUUACAGCUCAAGUAUCCAUGAUUUUAGGAAAAAAACCUUCCUUCAACCCUAAGCCAACUUUAUCUGCAAUAUUAGCUUUUUUCUAUAGUUUCAAGUCAAAAUUCUUUAGAGAGAUAUCAAUAACUGUUGACUCCAUUUCCUCAUCCCACUUACGCCUCUACUCCUACUGCUUGCACUGAACUUCACUGUGCUUACUUGGAAGACUUUUUCCCAUGACUUCUAGACCAUAAGUUCUCUUGGGUUUUCUUCUAUCUCACUCCCAUCCUGUUCAGGAGAAGCUUCCUAGACUGUUAGUAUUUGAGCCCUUCAAAGAUCUGUCCUGGAUCCUCUUACAUUAUCCCUCCUCACUUUUUCCCUGGACAUCUCGUCCACUUCUAUACCUUCAUUGUUACCGGAUACCGACAUCUUUUGAAUUUACUUCUCCAGCCCAGACCUCUCUCUUGAGGUCUGGAACCACAUUUUCCACAUAAACGCACCAAGGGCAUCUAAAAAUAUGUUACACUAAGUAUUCAUCUUCUCUCACAAACCUCUGCUCCUUCCUCUGUGUUUCCUAUCAAAGUGUACCAUAUCAUGAAUCAUUUACUCUAACAUUGAAGCAGUGAAAACUGUCAAUUCUAAAUCUUUAAUUAUCUUGUGACACUAGUCUUCUUUUAUUCCCCAACCCUUACUACCACUAUCUUUCUCUGUGGCUAUCAUCUCUUGACUGAAUAAUUUUUUUUUCUCUCACUUUAAGUCAUUUUCCAAUUCUGCAAAGAGUUAUCUUACACAUCCAAAUCUUAUCAUUACAUUCUCUGAUUAAAUUCCUUAAUGACUCCAUAUUCUCCAUUUAGCAUAAUGUAAAGGACAAUUUAGAUUAGAAUCUGCUCUCUGCUUCAGUUUUAAGCCUCAUCCUUCUUAAUUACCUGUCUCUCUCCCCAGUGUUCUUCUUACAAUGAACUUCUUGCAGUCCCCUGGAUGUAACAGAUUUCCUCUUUCAACUCUGGUCCUUAGCACAUAAUCUUGCCUCUUACGAAAUGCAUUUCCCUCGACAUACGAGCUCCACUAGUACUCUCCAUCUACAUUGUUAUUGAUAUGACACGUUUUCCUUCAGGUCUUAGUCAAGACAUCACUUUAUUUGUGAACUCUAGGUGAGUGUUUCCUCUUUAUGCUACUGUAUCAUGUUGUACUUACUCCUGACCUUAUCCCUUUUCACACUAUAAUCACUUCGUGAGAUGUGUUUUUUCUCUACCUGACAAAGCAGAUGGAAAACAGCACUUACAUGUAAUGCCUAAUACAUUACUUUUUGGUUUUCAUCAAAAAAAUUAACAUGAUGAUUAUAACGCUUCAGGUAGAAUAAAUUAACUAAUCUUCAUAAAAAUUCUAUGAAUUAGGUGGCACUAUUAUUGCAAUUUCACAGAUGAAAAAACUGAGGCUGAGAAAGGUUAAGGAAUUAUAAAAGGUCAAGCAAUUAUUAAGUGGUAGAGAUAAGAUUAACUACUAUUUGCUCACAAAUAUUAUUUACUCUAUAAAAUGAGAAGAUGGAUGACUUAUGGAAUGAGUGAACAAAAUUCCCCCUUACUCAGAUCACUAAACAUUUGUUACCAGAGACUAGGGUACACUUUUCAUGACUCAGUCUCUCUUCCCUUUGGAUGAUUUUUUUCCCCCCAGGAAGUUACUCAGUCUCUCAGGCAAGUAUAUUUCUGGCAGUCCACCUGCCAGUACAUGUCUUGAUCUGAGCAGUAGACACCAUAGGCAACAUUGGAACUUUGGUUACAUCAAGUUGAAGAGACCCCUUAACUACUUUAAGAGACUUCUUCCUGUGAAUAGUUGUGCAGAUUGUGUCCAGAAUAAGGGCCUCUGGCCAAGGGGGCUAAAAUCCAGCCCAGAACGUACUGUCAUUUUGGAGGAAGAAAUGACAUUUUAACUAAUUAAUUUUCUCAGCAAGCAGGGGCAUGUUUUCCAUUAGUCUGCCAGAUUGGGUGUUUUUUGUCUUCCAAUUUUAUUUUUUUUCUGAUUUUUUACAAAGGAAUUCUAUAUGCUAGCAAAGAACCUGCCCAGGAGGGCCUAGCUAUUUAGGUAUAUAUUCUUUUCCAAGCCACAGGAUGUUGGGAACGUUCCUUAACAUCAAUUUUCUCAUUUGGG
rnacentral:lncRNA from 1 species